GAGUUUGAUCCUGGCUCAGAUUGAACGCUGGCGGCAUGCCUUACACAUGCAAGUCGAACGGCAGCACGGGAGUAAUCCUGGUGGCGAGUGGCGAACGGGUGAGUAAUAUAUCGGAACGUGCCCAGUCGUGGGGGAUAACGCAGCGAAAGCUGUGCUAAUACCGCAUACGAUCUCUGGAUGAAAGCGGGGGACUCGCAAGAGCCUCGCGCGAUUGGAGCGGCCGAUAUCAGAUUAGCUAGUUGGCGGGGUAAAAGCCCACCAAGGCGACGAUCUGUAGCUGGUCUGAGAGGACGACCAGCCACACUGGAACUGAGACACGGUCCAGACUCCUACGGGAGGCAGCAGUGGGGAAUUUUGGACAAUGGGCGAAAGCCUGAUCCAGCAAUGCCGCGUGCAGGAUGAAGGCCUUCGGGUUGUAAACUGCUUUUGUACGGAACGAAACGGUCUGCCCUAAUACGGUGGGCUAAUGACGGUACCGUAAGAAUAAGCACCGGCUAACUACGUGCCAGCAGCCGCGGUAAUACGUAGGGUGCGAGCGUUAAUCGGAAUUACUGGGCGUAAAGCGUGCGCAGGCGGUUAUAUAAGACAGAUGUGAAAUCCCCGGGCUCAACCUGGGACCUGCAUUUGUGACUGUAUAGCUAGAGUACGGUAGAGGGGGAUGGAAUUCCGCGUGUAGCAGUGAAAUGCGUAGAUAUGCGGAGGAACACCGAUGGCGAAGGCAAUCCCCUGGACCUGUACUGACGCUCAUGCACGAAAGCGUGGGGAGCAAACAGGAUUAGAUACCCUGGUAGUCCACGCCCUAAACGAUGUCAACUGGGUUGUUGG
rnacentral:rRNA from 1 species